rnacentral:misc_RNA from 1 species
CACCCAUCUAACCAAUUGCAAUAUCAUCAAUGGAACUACUGAUCAUUUGUGAUAACCAGAAACACUAAGAGUUGAAGCAUAUAUUAGUUUUUCUUGCAUUUUCAAUCCCGCAAGAAACCCCUAAACUUGAAAUUGCUAUAUCGAUGAAACUAAUCAGGAUCCUUACAUUGCAACAUCUAACAAUGCAUCACUGACCAAACAAGCAAACACUCAACAAGGCAUGGAAAUUUUUUAAACA